ACACAAAAAAAAAAAAAAAAAGAAAAGGCUAAGUGUUCAAUUUAUGAAAAUACCAACAUGAAAUGAAAUGUUCAAAAGAAACCUAACAGGAUUGUCUAAUAAUUCAAUCAGCAAAUGCAACAAAAUAAGAGCCUGAUUGGUGGUGUUGCAGGUAGCUGGUGGUUUGGCAAAAAAUUGUUGCUGUUGAUAUGUUGCCUUUAAGGGUGUAGUUUAUUUUUAAAUAUAUUUUAAUAUAUCUUAUAUUAUUUUCCUUAAAAAAAUAAAAAUAUAAUUAAGAAAAUUACUUAUAACUUUAAGUCUUUAACUAUGUAUAUAUAUAUAUGGUUGUAUUAAACAAAUUUUUUUUUCCUAUAAAUACAAAUAUCAUAGUUAUUUCAAUUCCAAGAUAAAAAACUAAUAUUUUUAAUUGACUACAAUUAAUUUGAUUAUAUAAAAAUUAAUUUGAAAAUUUAUUUUUUGACUAAUGGGUUUUAAUAGGGAUAUCUUAGUCCAAAUAAAAAAAUAAAGUAAAAACAACUAUUAGGGAAAGAGCUCUAAAAUGAAGAUUUUAGAAUCAGAUAAUAGCUGCCCAUAUUAAUUUGGUACCAAAUUGUUUGACCUAGCUGUUUGAAGGAUAAAAAGCUAUCAACUGGUCUCCAACAGCACUGCUAAAUCAAAGACCCUCUAACACAUGUUUAAACACACCAAAUUCCACACAUCUAAUGACAAUAUCAUGACAAUUGCUAAGUAACAAAUUUAUAUAAACCACAGCAGAAAAGGAGGGUGGAUAUGCAAUAACAAUAAUGUUUUGUUUUUCUCCUCCUCAACCAGAUAUAUAAUGAUCACCACAAUCACCAAAUUCUACAUUGUCAACAGAAGUUCAAUGCCUUUGCAUAACACAAACGGAGUUUGCUUUGAAAAUCCAUUCAGUAGAACCUAAGACAGCUACUUUGAUUUGAUUAAAACCACCAAAAACAACUUUCAUCGUUCUUUUCUUUCCCUCCAUUUCUCUGCAACAAAUAUAACAAAAUGGAAAAAGAUAACCAUAAAUCACCAAUACCUUAGCAUUAUAACCAUAAAUCACCGAUACCUUAGCAUUUUCAUUUUCAUAGUUCUUUUGCCUCCAUUUCUCUGCAUCAAAUAUACAAUUCAAAAGGGAAAAAGAUAACCAUAAAUCACCAAUACCUUAGCAUUAUAACCAUAAAUCACCGAUACCUUAGCAUUUUCAUUUUCAUAGUUCUUUUGCCUCCAUUUCUCUGCAUCAAAUAUACAAUUCAAAAG
rnacentral:misc_RNA from 1 species